rnacentral:lncRNA from 1 species
UAACUUGCACAUCUUGAUUAUAUAACCAAAAGGGGAGAACACAGUUACAAAAUCACCUUCUGUUGAUCACAGUUAACAUCAUCUCACUACUACUGAUCACAGUUACAAAAUCAGCUUCCUCACAGUUACAAGAUCUACCAUAACUUCAUCACUAGCAUCAGACACAUCAUGCACAAGAGAACACCUACUGCCACAACUAUCUUCAACAGAAGAACAAUCUGCCUGCCAACCUGCAACAAUGAUGCAUUCAUCCUCUCCUCGGAGCAUGGACCCCUAAUAAAUCCAGCUCUAGCUCUUCUCUGUUCAUUGC